rnacentral:rRNA from 1 species
GACGAACGCUGGCGGCGUGCUUAACACAUGCAAGUCGAACGGAAAGGCCUCUUUCGGGGGUACUCGAGUGGCGAACGGGUGAGUAACACGUGAGUAACCUGCCCUUGACUUUGGGAUAACUUCAGGAAACUGGGGCUAAUACCGGAUAGGAGCUCCUGCUGCAUGGUGGGGGUUGGAAAGUUUCGGCGGUUGGGGAUGGACUCGCGGCUUAUCAGCUUGUUGGUGGGGUAGUGGCUUACCAAGGCUUUGACGGGUAGCCGGCCUGAGAGGGUGACCGGCCACAUUGGGACUGAGAUACGGCCCAGACUCCUACGGGAGGCAGCAGUGGGGAAUAUUGCACAAUGGGUGGAAGCCUGAUGCAGCAACGCCGUGUGCGGGAUGACGGCCUUCGGGUUGUAAACCGCUUUCGCUCAUGACGAAGCUUUGUGUGACGGUAGUGGGUAAAGAAGCACCGGCUAACUACGUG